CAAGAAUAGGCGGGGGAAGUCUUUCAAAAAGUACUCCAAACACCAUAACUACCAUAGCACUCUCUUAGAAUUUAGAUCUUUUUUUUAAAACUUGUAAUACAAUUUCACAAUUUAUAUACCUGAAAAGAUACGACUUAUACACCUGAAAAGUAUAUAAGUUUGUGCACUAUCGUAACAUAUGCACCUGAGGAAGACCUGUGAAAGGUCGAAUCGCGUUGUGCUUUAUAUUU